UCCGUCUCAUCGGGGUGCUUUUAAGGUUUCUGUCAAUAAGCAAUCAAUCCACUCCCAUUGCUUAUUGACAGGAGCCCUGGCUGAGAGUUUACCCGUCGAACCUGAUCCAGUUAACACUGGCGUAGGAAAUGAGCAUUCCAAGGUA
rnacentral:ncRNA from 2 species